rnacentral:rRNA from 1 species
GUGGGGAAUAUUGCGCAAUGGGGGAAACCCUGACGCAGCAAUACCGCGUGAGUGAAGAAGGUUUUCGGAUCGUAAAACUCUUUUAUUGGGGAAGAAGAAGUGACGGUACCCAAUGAAGAAGUCCCGGCUAACUACGUGCCAGCAGCCGCGGUAAUACGUAGGGGACAAGCGUUGUCCGGAAUCACUGGGCGUAAAGGGCGCGUAGGCGGUUUUAUAAGUCAGAUGUGAAAGGUACCGGCUCAACCGGUGACGUGCAUUUGAAACUGUAAGACUUGAGUACUGGAGAGGCAAGUGGAAUUCCUAGUGUAGCGGUGAAAUGCGUAGAUAUUAGGAGGAACACCGGUGGCGAAGGCGGCUUGCUGGACAGAUACUGACGCUGAGGUGCGAAAGCGUGGGGAGCGAACAGGAUUAGAUACCCCGAUAGUCC